UACGUAGGGGGGCAAGCGUUGUCCGGAAUCAUUGGGCGUAAAGAGCGUGUAGGCGGCCAGAUAAGUCCGCUGUGAAAUCUCGAGGCUCAACUUCGAGCUGUCGGUGGAAACUGUCUGGCUAGAGUCCGGAAGAGGAGAAUGGAAUUCCUGGUGUAGCGGUGAAAUGCGCAGAUAUCAGGAAGAACACCCGUGGCGAAGGCGGUUCUCUGGGCCUGACCUGACGCUGAGGAGCGAAAGCGUGGGGAGCGAACAGG
rnacentral:rRNA from 1 species